GCAAGUCGAACGGUAACGUGAGAGCUUGCUCUUGAUGACGAGUGGCGCACGGGUGCGUAACGCGUAUGCAACCUGCCCUUAACUGGAGGAUAGCCCAGAGAAAUUUGGAUUAAUACCCCAUAAUAAAUUGGAUUCGCAUGUUUUCAGUUUUAAAGUUUCGAUGGUUAAGGAUGGGCAUGCGUAACAUUAGCUUGUUGGUGAGGUAACGGCUCACCAAGGCAACGAUGGUAGGGGGCCUGAGAGGAUGAUC
rnacentral:rRNA from 1 species